rnacentral:rRNA from 1 species
UACGAAGGGGGCUAGCGUUGUUCGGAAUUACUGGGCGUAAAGCGCACGUAGGCGGAUUUGUAAGUCAGGGGUGAAAUCCCGGGGCUCAACCUCGGAACUGCCUUUGAUACUGCAAGUCUUGAGUCCGAUAGAGGUGAGUGGAAUUCCUAGUGUAGAGGUGAAAUUCGUAGAUAUUAGGAAGAACACCAGUGGCGAAGGCGGCUCACUGGAUCGGUACUGACGCUGAGACGCGAAAGCGUGGGGAGCAAACAGG